rnacentral:rRNA from 1 species
UCACUUUUGCGAGACUGCCGGUAAUAAACCGGAGGAAGGUGGGGAUGACGUCAAAAUCAUCAUGCCCCUUAUGACCUGGGCUACACACGUGCUACAAUGGUUGGUACAACGAGUUGCGAGUCGGUGACGGCAAGCUAAUCUCUUAAAGCCAAUCUCAGUUCGGAUUGUAGGCUGCAACUCGCCUACAUGAAGUCGGAAUCGCUAGUAAUCGCGGAUCAGCACGCCGCGGUGAAUACGUUCCCGGGCCUUGUACACACCGCCCGUCACACCACGAGAGUUUGUAACACCCGAAGUCGGUGAGGUAACCUUUUGGAGCCAGCCGCCUAAGGUGGGAUAGAUGAUUGGGGUGAAGUCGUAACAAGGUAACCGUAA